rnacentral:lncRNA from 1 species
GUAUUCAUGAUUUGGUGUUUCGCACCAGUUAAUUUCAAUGGUUCUCAGUUCAUCUACCGUCGUUUCAUUAGACCAGUUUUUCUGAAGAACAAAGAAAAAAUUGACAAUUACAUUGACUCAGCUGUAUCUAAGGCUACUGAUUUUGCUGGCAAAGCUGCCACCAAGUUAGCUACUGAAGGAAUAAAGAAAGAAGAGUAAAAUACCGUCAUUCCUAUUUUCUAAUACUUACCAUUGUGUAUGUUUCCAAAAUAUCAACUGCAUAUAAUUUCUUUAACUGACUUGCAAUUCUGUUUUGUUUAAUUUUUUCCAAGUUUAUAUUCAAAAAUCAUGAGGAAAAAAAAGUGUAUUAAUUCUGCUUAGUAUUAUUAGCAUGCCUAUAGCUUUUUAACUUACCUUCUCAACAUACAAUUUUUUUUUUUUUUUUACAUUUGUUGUUAAAAAAGUUAUUGGUUCUCCUUUUUCUCUGUUCAGCAGCAUUCAACCAUAUCAUCAGAAGACUUUUUGUACAUAGAACAAAACAUAAAUCAAAUUAUAUGUUUCUGUUGUUCAUGAAAUGCACCUAACUUUAGUGCUGAUUUGUAUUUCAGUUUUGGAAGAGUGACUUGUCAAAAAGUUUUUAUUGUAAUUUGAAUAUGAUGGAAUAAGUUUGAUUAUACAAGUGCACUUUUCUGUUUGUUACGCCAGACAUUGAUAUUCAAAAUUCAUAACUAGCAAUUCAAUAUAAUUUUUUUACUAGCAAAUGUGAAAAAAUAGCUGAUACACCAAUGUGCAUAUUAAUCUUUGCAAAGUAAUGAUGACCUUUUUUUUUCUUCUUUCUCUCACUCAUGGUGAAAUAUUUCGCUACAUUUUCCCCAAGAAAAAUAAUUCAACUGAAAAGAAUUUUUUUUAAAUUAUCAAUAUAAUAUACUUGUUCUUUUCAAAGUGAACUCUUUAUAUAUUCAAAUUAACUAUACUUUUUGAACAUGUACUAGACAGAAGUAUUUUUUUACAGAGAGAACUCUGUAUAUUCAAAGUAGCCAUACAUUUUUUGAAAUUUCUUUGGAACAGAAUAAUGACAUUAAUAUUUUAUCUUUUUUAAAAUUAAUCACAUUUUUUUUUAAAUAUAUUAUUGUGUAAACACAGGGCUUCCUAUAAAUGAGUUACAUCAAUUAUGUGGUUUAAAAUUUAGAUCUGCUAUAUAGAUAAUCUUAAAAAUAAACCUGAGAUUAAAAAAUUUCUUGAUGGUGAAGCACAAUGCCCAAUUUCUUGCUUGAAAGUGUAAUAGUGACACACCUAAUUAUUGUAGAUUUUCUGUGGAAUGUUUUUAAAUUUAAUUUCUUUUCCAUGUUAUGAGCACAGAAAAAACAUUGAUCAUCCUUUUCUAGCAAUGUGCUUUAUUCUUCAAGUGUUCUCACAUUAUUGUAUAGUAUAUGAUAUGCAGGAAUGUGUGUGUCUUUGUGCUCUUAUGCACACCCUGUUCUAAAAAGUUUAAUACUGAAGUUGUUUUGAAUUAAAUAAUUGAGUUUAAAGACUGUUAUAUCUGAUAGAAUAAAAAGAAAUGUUUACAAUGGUU